rnacentral:rRNA from 1 species
GAUGAACGCUGGCGGCGUGCCUAACACAUGCAAGUCGAACGGUGAAGCUCCAGGUUGCUGGCGUGGAUGUGUGGCGCACGCGUGAGUAACACGUGAGCAACCUGCCCCUGACUCUCGGAGAACAGUCGGAAACGGCUGCUAAUACCGGGUAUGCACUUUGAACGCGUGUUCUGUGGUGGUAAAGAUCUUUCGGUUGGUGAUUGGCGCGCGGCCUAUCAGCUUGUUAGGUAGGUAAUGGGUUACCAGGUCAUCGACGGGUCGCCGGCUUGGGAGGGUGACCGGCCUCAAUGCGACUGAGAGACGGAGCAGACGCCUACGGGACGCAGCGGUCGAGAAUAUUGCAGAAUGGGCGAAAGCCAGAUGCAACAACCCCGGGUGCGGGAUACCGGCCUACGGGUGGUAAACCUCUGUGAACAGAGAAGAAGCGAGAGUGACGGUACCUGCAGAAAAAGCGACGGCUAACUACGUG